rnacentral:rRNA from 1 species
AGCGAACGCUGGCGGCAGGCCUAACACAUGCAAGUCGAACGGUGUAGCAAUACACAGUGGCAGACGGGUGAGUAACGCGUGGGAACCUUCCAUUUAGUACAGAAUAGCCCAGGGAAACUUGGAUUAAUACUGUAUACGCCCUCCGGGGGAAAGAUUCAUCGCUAAAUGAUGGGCCCGCGUAAGAUUAGCUAGUUGGUGAGGUAAUGGCUCACCAAGGCUACGAUCUUUAGCUGGUCUGAGAGGACGAUCAGCCACACUGGAACUGAGACACGGUCCAGACUCCUACGGGAGGCAGCAGUGGGGAAUAUUGGACAAUGGACGCAAGUCUGAUCCAGCCAUGCCGCGUGAAUGAUGAAGGCCUUAGGGUUGUAAAGUUCUUUAGACGGGGAAAAUUAUGAUGGUACCCGUAGAAUAAGCACCGGCUAACUUCGUGCCAGCAGCCGCAGUAA